rnacentral:rRNA from 1 species
CCUACGGGAGGCAGCAGUAGGGAAUCUUUCACAAUGGGCGAAAGCCUGAUGGAGCAACGCCGCGUGCAGGAUGAAGGCCUUCGGGUUGUAAACUGCUUUUAUAAGCGAGAAAUAUGAUGGUAACUUAUGAAUAAGGAUCGGCUAACUACGUGCCAGCAGCCGCGGUCAUACGUAGGAUCCGAGCAUUAUCCGGAGUGACUGGGUGUAAAGAGUUGCGUAGGUGGCAUAAUAAGUAGCUAGUGAAAUCUGGUGGCUCAACCAUUCAGACUAUUAGCUAAACUGUUAAGCUCGAGACCGUUAGGGGUAACUGGAAUUUCUAGUGUAGGAGUGAAAUCCGUAGAUAUUAGAAGGAACACCAAUAGCGUAGGCAGGUUGCUGGGACGGUUCUGACACUAAGGCACGAAAGCGUAGGGAGCAUACGGGAUUAGAUACCCCAGUAGUC